rnacentral:sRNA from 1 species
UCGAAAGACAUUCAUUCAAGAGAUCCUAACGUGAUUAUCGUAAAUAGCUGGAAUUGUAGAUAUUUACAAUGACAUAGAUCAUUUUUCUUCGACGUAAUUACGGCCUAAUGUCGAGACAAGAAUAAUAUGACGCUGAUCUGUGUUUUGACAAGAAUAUGAAUGAUCUUAAGAAAAGGCUUCGCUGAAUCAAUUGGAAGACAGCGUCUUCAAUUGUCCUACUAAAUUCUUUACGGAUGACAUCUGGGUCUGGGGAGAUCAUGCAAAAAAAUAAGACAUCAUUUAUAACUUUCAACCUUCCGCUCACAGGACAAAUUCUCGAAGACGCUACGAAAAGAUGCUGAGCUUGAUCAUAAUUCUUCAGGCUCCCAAUUCAAGAAUACAAUUACUUAGCGUGGGUGCUUCUGCUCAGUCUUCGUUUCCUAUCUCCACAUACGAAUCACUCGCUUGUUACUAAUUCGAAUAAUUUACUGCUGUAAGGAGUCGUACCGCCAACUAAAUCUGAAUAACAAUUUGGCUGCUAGAAGUCAAAAAGUAGGCGCUGCAAUGAUUAUGUGGUAUGAUCAGAUUGUGUCGCAACAUUCAGCGGGGUUUUGACUCAAUGGGACCGCUGCUAAUAAAGUGUUUAACUAGCGAAUUUUGGAACACACCCGUUGACAAAAGUAUAAGGAGUCUCUUUCCGUGAGUUCCCCUCUUCCUCUCACUGCACUUCAACUAUGCCUUAUAGCAACCAAGAAGCUAGAAAAUGCCAACUAUUAAAAAGAUAACCUCUUUGGAAUCAAAUAAAACGGAGAUUAUCUUGGGAUCUAUUUCACAAAUUUACGGCUAAUUGGAAUGAACAGCGCCAAGUAGCACUGGACAAACUGCAGAGAGUAUUAGAACUUGCUUUAUUCCGUAUAUCGUACUUUAGGUCGUCAGUUUUACCACUUCGGUACGCAAAUGAAAAUAAAAAGCUCAUUCACAACUUAGACACAAUUUCGCCGUUUACAAGUAGCUGAAAAGUCCAUCUAUCGAAUUAUGAAUGAUACUAUUUUAAAUAUCGUCGUUACUGCACUCGUUUUCCACGUUCUUUUUAUCCACACAUCCGAUGUUUUAUUUACAGUUGAGCAUCUCAGGGCCAGCGACAAAUAUAAACAUAUUAUACUCAAAAUGAAGCUCGUUGAAAAGAGAAUAUUUCUUAACCUCUUUUACAGUGCUUUCAACACCUUUUCACCUGUGUGCCAUGUCAGAUUAAGGAUGCUCAACUUUUCGAAUUAUUAUUACAAAUUUCAAAGAAAUUACUAGUCCUUUUUGUCCCCUAAUGUAUCCCUCAUUUCAUACCGUCGUUUUGGGGUUCCAACUACGUAUAGCUUUCAAGUGUGGUUUUACGGUAAGAACAACCCCCCAUCGGUUGGUGCGGAAUACUUUCCUAUUCUCAUCGAGAGCCGAGCCAUACACCUAAGGUGGACAGAAAGCUAAAAUUCCAAAACAGAAAAAUCUAACAUCUUUGCUCCCUUACAAGUAGGAACGCUGGCGUAUCAACCCGUCUCCAGAUUUGCCCAGCAUUUCUGUAGAACACCCAAUGCGAAUGAAGACUAAUGAAUAUUGUAAAGACAAAAAAUAGGAAAAGUUUAAUUAGUGAUGGUUCUCACCACCCCAAAACGGUCACUUGCAUGCAUUGAGGACAUGCACCUGCAGUACUUGUUUUUCUCGAAUGUUUUUACCAUCUCUUUUUUCCUUAUCUGAGCUACUGACGCAGACGGACAUUGUUUCAUAUUUCGAAAGCUGUGCGGGAAAACGGAUCCUAACACGAAUGUGAAUGCGCUAAUCAAUAUUUCCACCACAUGAAACCUGCUACUUUUUCAGUCCUCUUCGUAUGCAUUUCCCAAAAUUCAUUCGUAGCCUUGUCAACUUAGACUCAGUUCCACGGCGUGCAGGACGGGGUAUUAUGAAUAAAAGGAUCCACGGGUGAGAUUUGUUCUGUGUUUUAGGUAUGGAGUUUUGUACCACAAAACUUUAGGAAUACCGGAUUUUGUGCCUACGCCAGCCCCAGAGUAUGUUCUCACAGCUGUAAUUCCUAGUGAUCUUUUCCUGGCUCCAAUAGGAACGCCGGUAGGCAAAUUAAACUUUCGCGGCAGGAAAAAAAAGGCUUUUUCUUUUUUGCCUUUCAGUUUCUCGGAAUGUGGCAUUACAUAAGCAUAAUCCUUUUUGGGUGUGCCUGGAAAGUUCAAAUUAAGGUUUUUUUCUUCUGUUUUCUUGACAAGAAAAUGUCGCCCAAAGAGUUUCGGCCGUUAUUUUUCCUAUCGAAGUGGGUCCUUUUUGUCUUUAGUCCUUCUCUGGGGCUAGCGAUCACUGCAAAAUUAGGCUUCACUGGUACGAGUUAACUUUUUUUCUUUUUUUUUGUCAUCCUUUUCUUUGGGGCUAAGAACGGACUUCCCUUUUCUUUUUCUUUGUUGCAGCAGUGGCUUCAAAGAACUGCUGAUUGCUCAAGGCAAUCAGUCCGAGCGUUUAGAAGGUGAUUGUAGGCAGAAAUUAACUUUGCGGUAAAAGAAUGACAUUCUUUCUUAAAAGAAAAAUUAGCUUUUUUUUGUCAGGCAUUGCACAAACUUUUUUAUUUCUGCCUAUACUCUUAAACAGAUCAGUCAUUCAUGUUGUCUUUUUAACGGUCGUACUGGGACAUCGCAUGCCUUGGGAUUCCGUAAUUAGGUGCAACAAUACGGGCACAACUCAUUCUGCGCUAUCUUCACGGACUGAACUUCUAUUGCCUAUCGGUGGUGUGAUUAACAAUUGGAAGCGCAGAGCUUGGAAUGGAUUUCCAAUUCAAUGGAUUUGGAGGUAUUCGUUUGUUUACUAAUAUUUACUUUGAGGACAUUGCCCAACCCUAAAAGUGCCUGUUCCAGAAUAGAAUAACAUUAUGAUACGUUUUCUUGACCGCUGAGCAAUUUAAAGCAAUUAUUAGGGUACGAUUGUUUCUAGAGAAAUGUGGGUCAUCUUUUUAGGUCCAUUCUCUUCUGAUGAGGUAACCUUUACAAAAAUGUCAUAGAGUUACCAAUUGGGAUUCAAGGCAUCAUCGCAAUAUACUUCGUUCUCUUACGGAGAAAUUAAGCUCUUUCUACUUUGAAUUAACUGUUAGACUUGUCUUAUCUGAGGAAUGUCCGUGUUCAAAUUAAAUAAAAAUUUAGGGCAGUUUUAUUUACCUUAACAAAUAUGUUCAAGCAUGUACGU